AGUGAACGCUGGCGGUAGGCCUAACACAUGCAAGUCGAACGGCAGCACAGUAAGAGCUUGCUCUUACGGGUGGCGAGUGGCGGACGGGUGAGGAAUACAUCGGAAUCUACUUUUUCGUGGGGGAGAACGUAGGGAAACUUACGCUAAUACCGCAUACGACCUACGGGUGAAAGCAGGGGAUCUUCGGACCUUGCGCGAUUGAAUGAGCCGAUGUCGGAUUAGCUAGUUGGCGGGGUAAAGGCCCACCAAGGCGACGAUCCGUAGCUGGUCUGAGAGGAUGAUCAGCGACACUGGAACUGAGACACGGUCCAGACUCCUACGGGAGGCAGCAGUGGGGACUAUUGGACAAUGGGCGCAAGCCUGAUCCAGCCAUACCGCGUGGGUGAAGAAGGCCUUCGGGUUGUAAAGCCCUUUUGUUGGGAAAGAAAAGCAGCAGGUUAAUACCCCGCUGUUCUGACGGUACCCAAAGAAUAAGCACCGGCUAACUUCGUG
rnacentral:rRNA from 1 species